GACGAACGCUGGCGGCGUGCUUAACACAUGCAAGUCGAGCGGAAAGGCCCUUCGGGGUACUCGAGCGGCGAACGGGUGAGUAACACGUGAGCAACCUGCCCCCGACUCUGGGAUAAGCCCGGGAAACUGGGUCUAAUACCGGAUACGACACGCGGCCGCAUGGCCUGCGGGUGGAAAGUUUUUUCGGUCGGGGAUGGGCUCGCGGCCUAUCAGCUUGUUGGUGAGGUAGUGGCUCACCAAGGCGACGACGGGUAGCCGGCCUGAGAGGGCGACCGGCCACACUGGGACUGAGACACGGCCCAGACUCCUACGGGAGGCAGCAGUGGGGAAUAUUGCGCAAUGGGCGGAAGCCUGACGCAGCGACGCCGCGUGGGGGAUGACGGCCUUCGGGUUGUAAACCUCUUUCAGCAGGGACGAAGUUGACGUGUACCUGCAGAAGAAGCGCCGGCUAACUACGUGCCAGCAGCCGCGGUAAUACGUAGGGCGCAAGCGUUGUCCGGAAUCAUUGGGCGUAAAGAGCUCGUAGGUGGCUGGUCGCGUCGGGUGUGAAAGCUUGGGGCUUAACUCCAGGUCUGCAUCCGAUACGGGCCGGCUAGAGGUAGGUAGGGGCAAGCGGAAUUCCUGGUGUAGCGGUGAAAUGCGCAGAUAUCAGGAGGAACACCGGUGGCGAAGGCGGCUUGCUGGGCCUUACCUGACGCUGAGGAGCGAAAGCGUGGGGAGCGAACAGGAUUAGAUACCCUGGUAGUCCACGCCGUAAACGUUGGGCGCUAGGUGUGGGGGC
rnacentral:rRNA from 1 species